GUGCUCACUUAGGCAGUGCAUAUGCUAAAAUUAGAAAGAUACAGAGAAGAUUAGCAUGGCCCCUGCGCAAGGAUUACAGGCAGAUUCAUGAAGAGUUCCAUAUUUUU
ensembl:snRNA U6 U6 spliceosomal RNA